UAUGUUGAUCACAGCUUUUACAAUUCUAAUGAUAUACAAAUGUAUGUAUGUAAAUGUAUAUAUGUGUGUGUGUGUGUGUGUGUGUGUGUGU